UGUGCAGCCCGGCAGGGGCGGCAGGGGGCGGAGGGCAGCAGGCCCGGCGGGGAGCCGGCAGAGCUGCUCAGCCGCGAUUAUAUACAGAGCGGACUCCUUCCCUCCCUCGGUGUCGUACGCUGCUGAGCGAUGUGUAAAUGGAGCGAGGGGCGCGGUGGGGGCCGGGAGGCGUUCAUCCAGAGAGGGAAUUUGAAAUGGUGUUCCAUAGCCCUCAUCAGGCGAAGAGAGGGUUGGUGCCACGCUGUGUUUGACAGGCAGCCUUCAAACUCUCGCCUGGCUUGUAUUUUUAAUCUCUCCUCAGUCAGGAUGCCGCAGUUUGACAGCCGUGAGUCAGUGUGAAUCCAGGCGCUCCUCCUGUGGGCUGUUGGAAAGGAGGUCCCAGCCGCAGAUGCGUCGGGCGGAAGCAGCAGCAGCAGCAGCAGCACUUCAAGGCUCUGAGCGUGACACUGGGGUGACUGCAACAGGCUGAGCAGUGCGGCUGCCGCAUGUUGUCCCUAUGUCUCGCUGCCGAGCUCAGAUACCAAGGAAGAGGAAUACUUUGCUUCAGAGAAGACUGCAUUAGGAAAUAAAUAGCAUGGAUUUCUUUCAAGUCAUAGGCCAGAAAACCUGCUCAAGACUGUCCUUCAAAAGAGAAUGCUCUUCUGCAUCAUCCUAUGCAGCAAUCUGUGUGGGUUGUUUGUGUUUUUGUGGGUUUUGAGUUUUUUUGUUUUUUUUUUUUUUUUUUUUUAGAACCAGAAACAAGGAUUGUAGAAAGAUCUCUCUUCAUGCAUUUUUCUGGUAAAACAAAAUGCAUUGCUCAUCCAGUUUUAAGAAAUCCUUAGUGUGGGUUGGUCAGCUUUGGGCAGUCUUGGCUGGAGCAAAUCACUUUCUGCAAGAAAGAGCUACUAGUUUUCUGUGAGAGUCCAUUGAAGCCUGACUGAAGCAGUCAUUUAGGAGACUCAACAUAUAUAAACCUCCCAGCAUAAAUAGGGCCCUUUUGUAAAAGAGGAUCUUUAGGGGGGCGGAAGUGGUGGUUUGCAAUUUCUAGCAGCUACCCUAUUGUUAAAAGGCUGCAACCAAACCGUGAAACUCACUAUAAAUCAGUAUACAUGCCAGUCAACAUGCAUUUUCCCCCAAAUUACUGCAGCGCUGGUGGCAAAUAGGAUUGUCACUUAAAUCCACAUUUGGAUGCUAUUUUAUAAGCAUAAACUGGUUUUUUUGGCUGUAAUAUCCCUGGCAGGUGGUGCUUAUUCCUGAUACCUUUGGACAGCUUGAAGUAUACCCUCUUUAGAACAGAAGAUACUAUAACAAUGCUGCCAAGUGUUAUUUAAAAUUAUGAAUAGUUAUUUUACAAAUAAGGCCACUAUCCACCUCACAAAACAGCACAGCAACAAAAUUACUAGCUUUAUUUUUGGUUUACUUUUGUGUACUCUGAGUUACUAUGAAAGCUUAAUCGUUUCGGUUUUUUUUUUUUUUUUUUUUUAAGAGAAAACCCUUUUUAAAGUUAUAGCAUGAGUUAUAUUUGAAAGAAUCAGAAAGGUUUAUUAAAUCUUGCCAUCAGUUAAGGAAUUCUCCGGUUUUCCGGUUUUUAUUCUACAAAGUCUCAAUGGUAAGAUAAACAUGUUUAACCAUUUAGUUACACAGCAGACAGUUAAUCCAGAUGUCAUCCAAAUGAAUGAAACUCAGCCACUGUAUUUCCUAAGAGUCUCCAUCCACUUGCAACAUUACUCCAGGAGAAGCAUAGUAGCAUCUAUUUCUUCUGCCUUUCCCCCACAAGAUCUGCCAGCAGAACCAACUGGCCCUUGUAUUUAUUUCUUUCCUUUGGAAGGCAACUGUAUGAGCUCCAUUCUUUCAGCUCUUCUAUGUAAAUGGAGCCUGUGUUACUCAAGAAUUUUCCACCUCCACACACCACCCUUCUUUUUUU